GACGAACGCUGGCGGCGUGCUUAACACAUGCGAGUCGAACGGAAAGGCCCUGCUUUUGUGGGGUGCUCGAGUGGCGAACGGGUGAGUAACACGUGAGUAACCUGCCCUUGACUUUGGGAUAACUUCAGGAAACUGGGGCUAAUACCGGAUAGGAGCUCCUGCUGCAUGGUGGGGGUUGGAAAGUUUCGGCGGUUGGGGAUGGACUCGCGGCUUAUCAGCUUGUUGGUGGGGUAGUGGCUUACCAAGGCUUUGACGGGUAGCCGGCCUGAGAGGGUGACCGGCCACAUUGGGACUGAGAUACGGCCCAGACACCUACGGGAGGCAGCAGUGGGGAAUAUUGCACAAUGGGCGGAAGCCUGAUGCAGCAACGCCGCGUGCGGGAUGACGGCCUUCGGGUUGUAAACCGCUUUCGCCUGUGACGAAGCGUGAGUGACGGUAAUGGGUAAAGAAGCACCGGCUAACUACGUG
rnacentral:rRNA from 1 species